CAUUGGGUCCAUCAAAAAUAAUUGUACCUAUGCCUAAACUUGUCAGAUCUCAGAGGGUAAGCAGUACUGGGUCUGGUUAGUACUUGGAUGGGAGGCCACUGGGAAUACCAAGUGCCACAGUGG
rnacentral:rRNA from 1 species